AGAUAAUAGAUACCCGGGUAGUCCACGCCCUAAACGAUGCAUAUUUGGUGUGGGCAGUUCAUUCUGUCCGUGCCGGAGCUAACGCGUUAAAUAUGCCGCCUGGGGAGUACAGUCGCAAGGCUGAAACUCAAAGGAAUUGACGGGGGCCCGCACAAGCGGUGGAGCAUGUGGUUCAAUUCGACGCAACGCGAAGAACCUUACCUGGGCUCGAACGGCUGGUCAACGGAGGUGUAAACAUCUCUACCCCGCAAGGGGGUCCAGUCGAGGUGCUGCAUGGCUGUCGUCAGCUCGUGUCGUGAGAUGUUGGGUUAAGUCCCGCAACGAGCGCAACCCUUGUCCUGUGUUGCCAUCAUUCAGUUGGGAACUCGCAGGAGACCGCCAGGGAUAACCUGGAGGAAGGUGGGGAUGACGUCAAGUCCUCAUGGCCUUUAUGUCCAGGGCUACACACGUGCUACAAUGGGCGGUACAAAGCGCCGCGAACCCGCGAGGGGGAGCCAAUCGCAAAAAACCCGUUCUCAGUUCGGAUUGCAGGCUGC
rnacentral:rRNA from 1 species